GAUGAACGCUAGCUACAGGCUUAACACAUCCAAUCUGCCCGUUACGUCGGGGAUAGCCUUCUGAAAGGAAGAUUAAUACCCGAUAGUAUCCAUUAGCGGCAUCGCCUAUGGAUUAAAGAUUUAUCGGUAACGGAUGAGGAUGCGUACGAUUAGCUGGUUGGCGGGGUAACGGCCCACCAAGGCGACGAUCAGUAGCCGGUCUGAGAGGAUGAACGGCCACAUUGGUACUGAGACACGGACCAAACUCCUACGGGAGGCAGCAGUGAGGAAUAUUGGUCAAUGGACGCAAGUCUGAACCAGCCAUGCCGCGUGCAGGAAGACGGCUCUAUGAGUUGUAAACUGCUUUUGUAUGAGGGUAAAAUUGGGUACGUGUACCUAACUGAAAGUAUCAUACGAAUAAGGAUCGGCUAACUCCGUG
rnacentral:rRNA from 1 species